AAACGAACUCGUCCUGAAUUUAAGUUUUUCGUUUUCAAAGGAUAUGGAGAGAUCAAAGGAAUGGGUAAGCAAUUGUCGUCGUGAAGAUCUUUUGGGCAAAAGUGCAGAAUAUUUUUACAAGGAUUGUAAACUGUGUGCAGAUCAUUUUGAGGACUGCAUGCUCACCAGCAUGGAAAAGAAGUGAUUAAAUCCUCAGAGUAAGCCAACUCUAUUCAAAAUUCCCAAUCCUCCACCCCAAAUUGGGAAAAAACGAAGGGCAAUUGAAAGAAAAGAAAUUCAAUAUGUUCCAUCAGGUAAAUAAGUAAUUUUUCACAUUUUAUUUUCCAAUAGAUUUCAAGUAAGUUUAAAUAAAACAAUGAAACACUAUUUUUA